rnacentral:rRNA from 1 species
GAAUUGACGGGGGCCCGCACAAGCGGUGGAGCAUGUGGUUCAAUUCGACGCAACGCGAAGAACCUUACCCAGAUUUGACAUCCCGGGAAUCCCCUGGAAACAGGGGAGUGCCCUUCGGGGAACCCGGUGACAGGUGCUGCAUGGCUGUCGUCAGCUCGUGUCGUGAGAUGUUGGGUUAAGUCCCGCAACGAGCGCAACCCUCGUCCUAUGUUGCCAGCGGGUAAUGCCGGGGACUCAUGGGAGACUGCCGGGGUCAACUCGGAGGAAGGUGGGGACGACGUCAAGUCAUCAUGCCCCUUAUAUCCAGGGCUGCAAACAUGCUACAAUGGCUGGUACAAAGGGCUGCUAUACCGCGAGGUGGAGCGAAUCCCAUAAAGCCAGUCUCAGUUCGGAUUGGAGUCUGCAACUCGACUCCAUGAAGCCGGAGUCGCUAGUAAUCCCGGAUCAGCAACGCCGGGGUGAAUACGUUCCCGGGCCUUGUACACACCGCCCGUCACACCACGAAAGUCGGCAAUACCCGAAGUCAGUGGCCCAACCCCUUGGGGAGGGAGCUGCCGAAGGUAGGGUUGGCGAUUGGGGUGAAGUCGUAACAAGGUAGCCGUACCGGAAGGUGCGGCUGGAUCACCUCCUUUCUAAGGAG